rnacentral:rRNA from 1 species
GUCGAGGGGCAGCAUGGUCUUAGCUUGCUAAGACUGAUGGCGACCGGCCCUUGGGUGAGUAACACGUAUCCAACCUGCCGUCUACUCUUGCACAGCCUUCUGAAAGGAAGAUUAAUACAAGAUGGCAUCAUGAGUCCGCAUGUUCACAUGAUUAAAGGUAUUCCGGUAGACGAUGGGGAUGCGUUCCAUUAGAUAGUAGGCGGGGUAACGGCCCACCUAGUCUUCGAUGGAUAGGGGUUCUGAGAGGAAGGCCCCCCACAUUGGAACUGAGACACGGUCCAAACUCCUACGGGAGGCAGCAGUGAGGAAUAUUGGUCAAUGGGCGAGAGCCUGAACCAGCCAAGUAGCGUGAAGGAUGACUGCCCUAUGGGUUGUAAACUUCUUUUAUAAAGGAAUAAAGUCGGGUAUGCAUACCCGUUUGCAUGUACUUUAUGAAUAAGGAUCGGCUAACUCCGUGCCAGCAGCCGCGGUAAUACGGAGGAUCCGAGCGUUAUCCGGAUUUAUUGGGUUUAAAGGGAGCGUAGAUGGAUGUUUAAGUCAGUUGUGAAAGUUUGCGGCUCAACCGUAAAAUUGCAGUUGAUACUGGAUAUCUUGAGUGCAGUUGAGGCAGGCGGAAUUCGUGGUGUAGCGGUGAAAUGCUUAGAUAUCACGAAGAACUCCGAUUGCGAAGGCAGCCUGCUAAGCUGCAACUGACAUUGAGGCUCGAAAGUGUGGGUAUCAAACAGGAUUAGAUACCCUGGUAGUCCACACGGUAAACGAUGAAUACUCGCUGUUUGCGAUAUACGGCAAGCGGCCA